CUUUCUCACAAAAAACAAAACUUCUCAAACAACAAACAACAACAAACAACAAGAGAAAGAAGAAAGAAAACUGUUUCUCUUUUCUCUUUUUCUCUUUGUCUUUUUCUUUCUUUUUCUUCUCUCUGUCUCU
rnacentral:ribozyme from 13 species